rnacentral:rRNA from 1 species
UAGUAUUCAAUUGUCAGAGGUGAAAUUCUUGGAUUUAUUGAGGACUAACUACUGCGAAAGCAUUUGCCAAGGAUGUUUUCAUUAUUCAAGAACGAAAGUUAGGGGAUCGAAGACGAUCAGAUACCGUCGUAGUCUUAGCCAUAAACUAUGCCGACUAGGGAUCGGAUGAUGUUAAUUUUUUAAUGACUCA